rnacentral:lncRNA from 1 species
GAGAAGUGUUACAGACAGAGAUAACUUGUAUCAGUUCUGGAGCAGCGUGGGGGUCUUCUGGUCUCUUUUUAUUUCAAUUUAGGCUCUGUUGUAUUGGUUUCCUAUUGUUCUCAGCAAGCAGUGGCACCGUCUUGUUAUCUUCAAGUGUUUUUCUUUCUCAUAACGUCAUCAGAGAUUUAACAGAAGUGGCCAAUUAUCACCUUGAGUUGUUAAUUUUUUUAUGGCCUCCUGCCCUGUACUUAACCUUCUGGGGAAGAAAAGUGAAAAUUGGCAUCAAUCGUUGAACGUCAGAAGAGCUUGAUUACUGAUUUCGUGGAGACAGAAGAUUGACUUAAAAGGGUCAACCUUUGGAGAGGGAGCCCAACUGAGGUAGAUGACCCCAUAGAAAAAAAAAAGACUGAUUUUCCCAGACAAUUCAGCAAUUUGCUCCUUAACAGCAAGGCAAAUUCGCUGUUCACUACCAUUCUGGGAAAAACCAACUCCAAGAUUCCAUGACAUUUCGCUAAAAUCAGGACUGAUUCUCCAAGAUCUUCACAGUUGUACAUCGUACCUUUGACAGCAUGGUGUGCUUAUGAAAUUCUAGCACAUUUUUUUCCUUUGGGAGCAUUUCUGUGGAUAUUAUGCAGCCCAUCAUCACACCCACUCUUAGUUGACUGUGGUAAUUACUUGUGAAUUUUACAUACCAAACUUUAUUCAUUUUUUUUUUU